rnacentral:rRNA from 1 species
GGGUCAGUAGGUUGGUCGUGCCACCGGUACGUACUGGUCUCACUGAUUCCUCCUUCCUGAAGAACCGUAAUGCCAUUAAUUUGGUGUUGCGGGGAAACAGGACUGUUACUUUGAAAAAAUCAGAGUGUUUAAAGCAAGCUAACGCUUGAAUACAUUAGCAUGGAACAAUGAAAUAGGACGACCGAUCCUAUUUUGUUGGUUUCUAGGAUUGACGUA